AGCGAACGCUGGCGGCAGGCCUAACACAUGCAAGUCGAACGAAGUCUUCGGACUUAGUGGCGGACGGGUGAGUAACACGUGGGAACGUGCCUUUAGGUUCGGAAUAACUCAGGGAAACUUGUGCUAAUACCGAAUGUGCCCUUCGGGGGAAAGAUUUAUCGCCUUUAGAGCGGCCCGCGUCUGAUUAGCUAGUUGGUGAGGUAAAGGCUCACCAAGGCGACGAUCAGUAGCUGGUCUGAGAGGAUGAUCAGCCACAUUGGGACUGAGACACGGCCCAAACUCCUACGGGAGGAAGCAGUGGGGAAUUUUGCGCAAUGGGCGAAAGCCUGACGCAGCCAUGCCGCGUGAAUGAUGAAGGUCUUAGGAUUGUAAAAUUCUUUCACCGGGGACGAUAAUGACGGUACCCGGAGAAGAAGCCCCGGCUAACUUCGUGCCAGCCGCCGCGGUAA
rnacentral:rRNA from 1 species